rnacentral:rRNA from 1 species
GAUGAACGCUGGCGGCGUGCUUAACACAUGCAAGUCGAACGGAAAGGCCCAAGCUUGCUUGGGUACUCGAGUGGCGAACGGGUGAGUAACACGUGGGUGAUCUGCCCUGCACUUCGGGAUAAGCCUGGGAAACUGGGUCUAAUACCGGAUAGGACCACUUCUUGGAUGUUGUGGUGGAAAGUUUUUCGGUGUGGGAUGAGCUCGCGGCCUAUCAGCUUGUUGGUGGGGUAAUGGCCUACCAAGGCGUCGACGGGUAGCCGGCCUGAGAGGGUGUACGGCCACAUUGGGACUGAGAUACGGCCCAGACUCCGACGGGAGGCAGCAGGGGGGAAUAUUGCACAAUGGGCGCAAGCCUGAUGCAGCGACGCCGCGUGGGGGAUGACGGCCUUCGGGUUGUAAACUCCUUUCGCUAGGGACGAAGCUUAUUUUGUAACGGUACCUGGAGAAGAAGCACCGGCUAACUACGG